AGGGAGCUUGCUCCUGGAUUAGUGGCGAACGGGUGAGUAACACGUGAGUAACCUGCCCUUAACUCUGGGAUAAGCCUGGGAAACUGGGUCUAAUACCGGAUAUGACUUCUCAUCGCAUGGUGGGGGGUGGAAAGCUUUUUGUGGUUUUGGAUGGACUCGCGGCCUAUCAGCUUGUUGGUGAGGUAAUGGCUUACCAAGGCGACGACGGGUAGCCGGCCUGAGAGGGUGACCGGCCACACUGGGACUGAGACACGGCCCAGACUCCUACGGGAGGCAGCAGUGGGGAAUAUUGCACAAUGGGCGCAAGCCUGAUGCAGCGACGCCGCGUGAGGGAUGACGGCCUUCGGGUUGUAAACCUCUUUCAGUAGGGAAGAAGCGAAAGUGACGGUACCUGCAGAAGAAGCGCCGGCUAACUACGUGCCAGCAGCCGCGGUAAUACGUAGGGCGCAAGCGUUAUCCGGAAUUAUUGGGCGUAAAGAGCUCGUAGGCGGUUUGUCGCGUCUGCCGUGAAAGUCCGGGGCUCAACUCCGGAUCUGCGGUGGGUACGGGCAGACUAGAGUGAUGUAGGGGAGACUGGAAUUCCUGGUGUAGCGGUGAAAUGCGCAGAUAUCAGGAGGAACACCGAUGGCGAAGGCAGGUCUCUGGGCAUUAACUGACGCUGAGGAGCGAAAGCAUGGGGAGCGAACAGGAUUAGAUACCCUGGUAGUCCAUGCCGUAAACGUUGGGCACUAGGUGUG
rnacentral:rRNA from 1 species